CUGAAAUGGGACUUUAAGGAUAAUAGUUUUUGCCUUCUUCCUUUUGAAAAUGUUUUUGUUGUGAACCAUAUGUAGUUUGGGAUUUUUCUGUAUAUUGGGCAUUUUAAAAGCAAAAUGAUUGGUAUAUUAAAUUUAUUCAAGAUGCAACAUCUAGUUGGGUAUUUAAGAAUUGUGUGAAUUUUCUGGGAUAAAUUUCUUACUGUUAUUGAUAUAAGGUCAUGGUAAAUAACUGGGAUUUAUUUGAAACUUUGGAGACGAAAUUCUUUGGGCUUGUAAUUAAUGCUAUUUGGAAGUUUUAAAGCUCCACUCUUCGAUGUGCUGAAGAUUGAGUUUUAACUGCUUAUGUUAUAGUUAUGUUCUUGCAUUUUUUUCCUCCUGUGACUGAUUUCUAUGAUCAGAACAAUAGUUAAUAAGAACUGUUAAUGUAAUUCAAAUAUGUCAUACCUUGCUGUUUCCAAUCUGGUUAUAUGUAAUCAUUAUAUCCUAAAUACUUAGGCAAAUAAGUAUUUAGCCUGGUCAUCUGUCUGUUACUGGAUAUUUGUGUUUUAUUUUUAAAAUGUUUUUUUUUUAAAUGAUAAGAGGACAAUUUACAAUGGUCUGUGAAACCUAAUUGCUAUUUAUUGGAACUAUAGCUGUCUGCCUGUCCUGUGAAGCAAGCUUAUUCCUUCACACAGGAACUGCUGGCCAAUCUAUACUGGCCUCCCCACAUGUUAUUGCAGGUCCAGACUGUUCUAACUUUGUUAGAUUUAGUUUUUUGUUGUUCUAGAUUUUGGUCAAAUUACAGAUUAUUGAAUCUCUUCUGAGACAUGGAUCGGCCCAUCUGAAGCUUAGAUUGACACCACACCCACACCCCUGCAUGGAUUGAGCACCUUCGCCCAUUUCUCAGCCUGAAGCAGCUAAAAUCGAGACCAUCGCCAGUGCUCCUGAUGUAAUUUGGACUGAUAUGGGGGAAGUGGGAAAGUGGUUGAUGAAUUAUUGUUAAAAUUACAAUUCUAUUACUAGAGUUAGAAAAAAAUGCAAACAUUACUGUGUGUUUAAGAUUUGGGAUGGAAAUUAUUAAAAAUAGUAACUAUUGCUGUUAAGGAAGUUAUAUGUUUAUAAUAUCUAUGUUCACUUCAGAAUAUGUAAUUGUUUAAGGUAUUUGAUUUGAUUUGAUUUGAUUGAUUUUAGGAAACUCCUCCUGUACUAGACUGUUAUGUAUGUAGGAACUUUAAUUCACUCUUGGGAUUUAUAUGUGGAUGGUUAUUUGACUAUUUAUUAUUAUUUUUUGGAUGAUUCCUUUCCAUGAGGAAAAAAAAAAGGAGAGGAAGAGAUAGGGAACUAGGGAAACUGGUGGAUUUUUCUCAAAAUACCUAAAAGAGUGGGAACCCUUAGUUUUCUUUCACUUUUGCCUUACGUACUUCUGCCCUACCCCCUAGACCACCAGUUCAGAUUGAAUUGGAAGUCCUUAAACAAUCCUUUUUGUUUUUACUAUGUUUUAGCUUUGAAACCCCUUAUUCUGUGGAAUUGCCCUGGCAGACUCAGUUUUGGGAAUUAUUCUGUUUUAAAGAAAUCUCUAAGAUAAAGACACUUGUCUUGGGACUGGCAAUCUCCAGCCCUGUAACCCCAGUUUCUUAACUGGUACCUCAGCAUUUUUAAUAACAUUGCCCUUUUGAGAUCCAAGCCUUUAAAGUUUGGGGUUUGCCUGCCUUCAUAUUUUAACUGUGCAUGCUCUGAUAGCUCUGCUCAGAAAUCUGUAUUCUAGUAGCAGCCCUGUCUGUCCCCCUGGGUGGGGACAGGUGGAGCUACUCUAAGCCUCACCCUUCUCCCCUGAAGUGGGUUGCCCCUCUGAAUGGGCAGCAUGACUGUCUCGAGCCCUGCUACUCCCUUUAUAAGCAGAAGCUGAGUUAAGUGCACAAAUGACUGCAGACCACCUAACACAGUGAACUGUCCAUCUCAAACUGGAUUCUCUGGCUGAGAUGAGGUUCUUUGUACUGCUGAUAACUCUGGGGUUGUCAGGAAGAGACUUGCCCUUGCUAUAAGUCCUUGCAUUUUCUAGUUUCAUUUUGACUUAUUUGCCUCACAUUGGAUUGGUCAAAAUUAUGGUGCUGAGACCUCCUAGGUAUCUUGGGGAGGUAAUUCAAUAAUUCAAAUAUUCAGAAGAAGAGUGUGUAAUGUUGUGCCUCAGUUUCCCUAGUUGUCAUCUUUAUUUAUCUUUGUAUUUUUAUGUUUGCCAAAUGCCAAUCUGUUCUGUGAUAACUGUUUCUAAGAUAGUUGGUGGAAGCAAUUUUUAUGGUAUGAACUUAUUGCAAUCAAUAGUAUUAUCCUGUUGCUGCUAUGUCUAUCCUGUAUAAUUACAUUAGUAACCAGAAUAGUUCAGUGGUCCCUAUCAAAAUAUUGCAUACAGAAGAUGCUAUUAAAAUGAUAAUUCUUCAGAGAAAAGACUGGAAUGUAUUAAAGAGGGAUGAUCUUGAUUGUGAACUUGAUAAACAAUGUAUAGAUAUAUUAACUGAUUUUGAAAAUGUGUAAGUUCUUCAUAGAAAUAUGAUAAAAAUCAUUUACAUGUUAGAAGGGGGGAGCUGUGGGGAAUAGAUAAGGUGAAGAACUUACAGGGAUGUAUGCAUUCUUUUUCUGUAUUUUAUUAUUUCUGUGUCUCCCCUAUGACCUGUAUAAUAUGUGCAGGCUCAUAUCUAUUUGAGCCUUGGCCAGCUAGAAACAUAUUUACUUAACAUGAACUGAUGACAUUUAUUGGUAUUUGACAUUUAUCAAUAUUUAGUCUAUUAGCUGGACCACUGUCUGCUUGAUUAAGCCUGAAGGCCUGACUUUGUUUCCCAGAAAUCAGGAGAUUUCAGGGAAACAGAAACCUUCCAUUCCAAUCUCCCCAAAUAGCAACAACCAAUUAGAUGCCUCCCCCUCCCCUUUCAAUGCUCUCUUACUUGUGAUGUAAUUUCUUGUAUAAAAGCUAUGUAUCUUUACUACUUCUUUAGCCCUCCUACCGCGAGCUUAUCUUGCGAUGGGACGGCUCAUCCUCCAGAGGUUUUUCAAUAAACAACUUUUCUGCCUUCUA